rnacentral:rRNA from 1 species
AUGAACGCUGGCGGCGUGCCUAAUACAUGUAAGUCGAGCGCACAGACGAGGAGCUUGCUCCUCUGACGUUAGCGGCGGACGGGUGAGUAACACGUGGAUAACCUACCUAUAAGACUGGGAUAACUUCGGGAAACCGGAGCUAAUACCGGAUAAUAUAUUGAACCGCAUGGUUCAAUAGUGAAAGACGGUUUUGCUGUCACUUAUAGAUGGAUCCGCGCCGCAUUAGCUAGUUGGUAAGGUAACGGCUUACCAAGGCGACGAUGCGUAGCCGACCUGAGAGGGUGAUCGGCCACACUGGAACUGAGACACGGUCCAGACUCCUACGGGAGGCAGCAGUAGGGAAUCUUCCGCAAUGGGCGAAAGCCUGACGGAGCAACGCCGCGUGAGUGAUGAAGGUCUUCGGAUCGUAAAACUCUGUUAUUAGGGAAGAACAAAUGUGUAAGUAACUAUGCACGUCUUGACGGUACCUAAUCAGAAAGCCACGGCUAACUACGUG